UCCAGACUCCUACGGGAGGCAGCAGUGAGGAAUAUUGGUCAAUGGCCGGAAGGCUGAACCAGCCAAGCCGCGUGAAGGACGAAGGUGCCAAGCAUUGUAAACUUCUUUUGUCAAGGGACAAAAUCAGGCUCGAGAGCCUGACCGAGGGUACUUGAAGAAAAAGCAUCGGCUAACUCCGUGCCAGCAGCCGCGGUAAUACGGAGGAUGCGAGCGUUAUCCGGAUUUACUGGGUGUAAAGGGCGUGUAGGCGGGACUGCAAGUCAGAUGUGAAAACCAUGGGCUCAACCUGUGGCCUGCAUUUGAAACUGUAGUUCUUGAGUACUGGAGAGGCAGACGGAAUUCCUAGUGUAGCGGUGAAAUGCGUAGAUAUUAGGAGGAACACCAGUGGCGAAGGCGGUCUGCUGGACAGCAACUGACGCUGAGGCGCGAAAGCGUGGGGAGCAAACAGGAUUAGAUACCCUGGUA
rnacentral:rRNA from 1 species